AAAGAUACAGAGAUUGAUAAUGGUCCUUAAAGAGAGUGUCUUAUGGAGGAAGGAAACAAAAGUUCAGCGAGGUUAUUAUGAGUCACUUUUUUUUUUUUUUUUUUUUUUUUUUGGCCUUUUAGGUCCACACCAGGCUAGGGGUCAAAUUGGAACAGCAGCUGCUGGCCUACACCACAGCCACAGCAACACAGCAAUGCCAGAUCCAAGCUGCAUCUGUGACCUACACCACAGCUCAUGGCAACACGGAAUGCUUAACCCACUGAGUGAGGCCAGGGAUCGAACCUGUGUCCUCAUGGAUACUAGUUGGGUUCAUUACUGCUAAGCCAUAAUGGAACUCCGGGAGUCGCUUUACGUUUCCUUAGAUCACAAAGGUCAAGAGUGGCAAAACAACCACAGCUUAUGUUUCCUGACUGCAGACUAAGUGUUUUUUCCACUCCAUAAUAUCUCAAAUGGUCUCCUGGAUUAAAGAGCACUUGCUCUGUGCUGGAAAUGCUUGACUUCUCACCAAAAAGACCCAUAAAGAAGAGCUCCAUCUCCUGGAGACACAGAUUAGGGUGUUGGUGCCUGGCACCUGCUACUGAAGAUGAGUAGUUUAAUCUGAGUAAAAGGUGAAUCAACUUCCAGAGCUGAACAUGAAGCUCCCGACUUAAAUAUGUGCUGAUCUUCGAUACAGAGGAGGCCUUGAGGGGAUGGUUUAGAUUGUAAUAGUUUUAAAAAUGUGGGUUGCAAAUGUUCAAGCUGUGCAUUCUAAUUUAGCCCUUGAAUCAUGUUUUAUUACUUUCUCUCACCUCUGAGGAGGGCCAUUAUUAUGCCUCCGGGUGAGAGAUACGGUGUAUUUGCCCUCUUUAGAAAGACAAUAAAAUCAGGUUUUAUGGGGAGAGAUAAUGAGAGUUUGCUGUAGCUUUUAGCUGCAGAGGUUUUGUUUUGUUUACUAUAUGAAGGUUACGCCUGGGAAAAUAAUUCACAGGUUCUUCCUAGUAUAGAAAAUGUAGCCCUCCUGCCCACAACAGCCAGGACACAAGUCUUCUUGAUCCAUAUAUCAAGGGGGCUGCAAUGUCAAGGAAAUAAGAAAUACUCACCUUUCCUAACUGAAGGGAUUGUGGGAAGAAAUGAGAAUGGACCAAAGAGGUUAGUUAGUCACCUUAAGUUUCCUUAAAUCAUGGAGGUCAGAGAAAGAGGAUGGGAAGUGUGUGUUCUGCUCUCCCCUCUCCUGGGGAGAGCCUAAAACCUGGAGAAGAAAGCCAAGAAGAAGGGAGAUUUCUACCUUCCUUCUCAGUUAAGACUCUGAAAAGGGACAGCCACGUCUUGGCAAGCUGGUGGUCCUUACAGUUAAUAGAGGGAGGACUUGACUUCGAAUUUCUCCAGGCAGCUCUCUGUCCCAGGGUCCAAGAGUUCCCGAAGCUCCAGGAGAACUUGGAACCUGCAGCCCUGUCAUACACCUGCUGUGGCAAAGGAUGAGGUGCCCUCAAGGUAGAGCCAAACAGUCAAGGGGCCUAAGUGGGAGAUGGAGCAGAAACUCAGGUGAUCUGUAGGACCAGACAGAGCCAAAUGAGACUAAGAGAGCCAAGGAGAAACCCAGGCCCUGGCCAAGCCAAGAGACAGCAGAUUAUAAAUCACAACAGCUAUAGCCUGUUAAAGGCUGAAGGUACUGAAAUGUUCUCCCACUUGGGCCAAACAUCACAAGCAAGACAGCAUUGCUCUGUCCCUUUCCUAUGGUUGCAUAUCAGCCUAGCUCUCCUUUGCUAUUUGAUUCAUUAAUAAUCUUUUUAUGUCCCUAUUUCUCAGGGACCUGAUAGGAAUUCCCUGUGGUACCAAAGCAGAAACAACUUGACCAGCACUGACUAAAAAAAUCUUCUCUUUCUGUUAAUUCCCAGCAGGUGUACCCCAAACAUUUUCCCAAGCUUCUGCACCCCAAAACAUUUUCAUUCUUUGGGGGCAUGCCUUCCGUGUCUGGCAUGUUACCUGGGCGGUCCAAAGGAGACUGUUGGUCUCCCCAGUUGGAGAAGUCUUAGCCGCUGGGAAGAGCCGUCAAGUCCUAAUUCACUCACCUAAGAUGCAUCAGGCUUUCAUGCUAAUUGGAUUCUCAUCAACCUGGACAUGCAUAACCCGGACAUGCCCUCACAUGCUCCAACUGGCAGUAAGUACGCAGCUAGGUCCUGACUCCUAGACUCUCGCCAUUGUUCUGAGGAACUUCAAUAGAGGUAAUGACGCUCCAAGGAGAGAUAGGGUACAAGGGCCUGCAAGGAACACCCCUCAUGAACCUCUUUCUGCCAGGCAGUGGGAGUAGAGAUGGCGGCAGGUCCAAGACGCUUCUCCACUCUGUCUCCCUCCACUGGCCUGGAGAAUUGGUGGAGUCUGUGGAGGACAAGAGACUUAAUGUUCAUUAAUUAGGUAGGUAGGUAGUAAGAUCUACGGAUGGUAACUUGGCCGCACACCCUAGGUUUAAAUGCCAUCUCUGCCACUUACCCUGUGGCAUUGGAAAAGUUGCAGAACCUCUCUGAGCUGGAUAUUCUUAUCUGUGAAAUGACAUUAACAACAAUACCCACCUCAGAGGUUGGUUGCAGGCCUUAAAUGAAGCUGCGAGAUAAUCCAUGUAAAGUAUAAAGUGUCUGACUCAUAGGAGGAUAAAAAAUGUUAUCUGUGAUUAUGAUCGGAAUAAGGGCUUUAGCUUGCUCCAAGAGAUAAAGUUUAAAUAACUCUGGAAAUCUAUACAUUUCCACACCCAGAUAGUACCAGUCAAUAUCAAAUCAUCUUGAAUGUAUAUAUAUUUUUUAUUUUAUUUUUUUUUUUGUCUUUUGUCUUUUUGUUGUUGUUGUUGUUGCUAUUUCUUGGGCCGCUCCCGCGGCAUAUGGAGGUUCCCAGAAAAGGCAAAAAAAAAGACCAAAAAAUAAAAAAAUAAAUAAAAUAAAUAAAUUACCAUAAUGGCUUUGUCUGUUAUUAACAGUAACACUUUGGUGGUGUCCCCUGCCACAGCAUCACAAAACCUCGUUUCCUUCAUAUGGAAAUUGCAUCAAGGAAUACUUUUUAGUCUAUCACUAAGCACUAAGAACUUUGGUUACUUAGUAGAGCCAGAGGGAAAAGCCCUACAAGGGCGCAUUCUCUAAGAGAGACUUUCUCUGUCAGGGCCACCAUGUUGCACAACUCUGAGGGACCUCGUUGCUCAGAUUUGUGUGAAUGUGUCACCUACAGUGUGCAGUAGUAACCAGCAUGGCUUUUAUGCAUUGGCCCCAUAAAAUGUAAUUUUACUAGCGUUCCCGCUGUAGGUUACUGGUGCCAUGGGUUAAGAACCGGACUGCAGCAGCUCACGUUGCUGCAGAGGUAUGUUUUGAUCCCCAGCCUAGUGCAGUGGGUUCAA
rnacentral:lncRNA from 1 species